GCAAAUCUGGUUUGAGCAGAGUUUUGGCUUUUGUUUGUUUGUUUGAGUGUCCAUAAUCCUUGUGCAGCUGCUCCUUUUUAUAGAGGUCUGGAGGAAACCCUCCUGCUGAGGUUUUGUAUCUGCCCGAAAGAAGCUUGGGCAGCUUGUAUUCCAUUGCUUUAGACAGCUUGCAUGCUUUUCACUUGCCAACUUGCAUGGAGAAAUAAUAUUAAAAGGGGAACUUGCAUUUCCACCACAAGCUUUCAUCACAUGUUUUCCCACUUGUAAUAAACUAAUUAAUUAAAAGAAGUAAGUUGGCAAAUUGGCUUCUUUCAUCACACAUUCUUGCCCGAAAGUAUGCAUGGUGUCCUUCCAUCCACUGCAUGAAAAAGCAUGCACUUGUCUUGAUUAAACAAUUCCCUUGGCAAACCUCCACCACCCAAACAAAUAGGAGAAAUAAUAUUAUAGUGCCAAACCCUCCACUUGCAACUAAAUAUCUUUCCAAGUUAGUCUUCUUGCAUAUUAAUCCUCCAAAUACCAUAUUUUACCCAAAUUGCCCAAAUAAGUAAAAUGGGUAUAUUUUAGGUGUAAACAGUGCCCCCCAAGUUUUACAAAUUUGAGCAAAGUUUGUGAAACUUACAACCCUAAUGCUGCCAGGAUUGAUGUCGAAGGAAGAGGCACGUCUACCUCUUCGGUCCUUCUGUCGUUGACAAACUUUGGAAAGAAGAGCAAGGCAAUUGGUAGUGCAACUAGCAUUGGAAAAAAAAUGUUGUCUGACUUGUGCAUCCUUCUUGUUGAUACCAAAAAACAUAGGAGCAUCCUUACAGGUUACCGAGAUAGUAAACUAGAAAAAUGUCCGAAGUCGGGCAAACUGGAAAAGAGAGAAAUAAAUUGGGCAACUAUUCUUUUUUGUCUUUUUCUUUUGGCCUCUUUUCGUAUAUAUAAUAUAUAAUAUAAUAAUAUAUAUAAAAUAUAUACAUAUCUAGCCCUUUCGGGCAAAAGUACUCUAAUUCCCUUAUCUUUACAAAAUAUACUAUAAUAUUAUAUAUAUAUAUAUAUAUAUAUAUAUAUAUAUAUUAUAGUCCAUCGACCUUUUCUCUACUGAAAAGUUGGAUUAGACCUCCCUAUCUUAGGCCAUUUUUAUAUAUAUAAUACAUAGCCCAUUCGGGCAACUUGAAACGAAAGGGGACAAGAAGAAAGAUAAAGAAAAGAAAAGAGACAGCCAUUUCAGACUGCAUGAAGAAAAGCAGUCAGACUUAUUUUAUUUUAUAUAGAACAACUAAUAUUAGAUAUAGAUAUGUGUUUAUGACAGAGACACGGAGAAAGAGAAAGGAAAAGAAAGAAAAAGAAAGAGGAAAGAGGGAUAGAUCCUCUUUCGAGACAAAGGAAAGCCGAAGAGAUAAGAGAAAGAAAGGGAAAAAAAGGGAGAUAGACCAACCAUUCUUCAUUCCCAAACUUUGCCUCUUUGGAAUUAGGCGAAGUGAGAAGAUGUCUCUCAAAGCAGAAGCUCCAAACAACAAAGCCAACUUCAUCAUUCUCUUGGCCGACGAGGACCCUUCUCCUUCUCUCAGCUGGUGCCAUGAUUGUGUGAGAUCUGAACCUGUAAUCUACAAAAAGCUAGAAGCUAUACCAGAUGAUGUUGCACUGUUGAGGAGAUCAAACUCCUCUGGUGUUAUUUUGUUCAGAGCCCUCAUAGUCUUUCACACGCGAUCCUCAUCAGAUAGAGCAACCUUCUAGCUGACCAUAGUACCUCAGCUUUGAUUGAAGUAGGAGCAGGCCCUCCUCCUUGGUUCUGUUCAUGCAAAUUAAGCCUGAUUUGCAUCUUGCUGUUUGUGACCAAACCGAUCACCAGACUUUUUGUUCUUCCGGAGAGCACCCCAAGACCGUACUCUUUAAGGCAGGAAUUGGUGUAGAAGUGUCACGCCAAACUCGGCUAUUGGGCUCCGAAUAAUCAAUUUUAGGCUGGAGAUGGAGCUGGAGAUUUGGUAGAAUGGUUUUUGCAUGACCUCAGUUCUGAUCUUCACCACUGGAAUUUCAUCAGGGAGCAAAACAGCUUCCCUAAGCUGUAGUUGAUUCUUUGGGACGGAGUGAGAUGCAUAGUGCGCUAGCACACUCCCCUCCCUAACCAGCAAAAAUCCAGACUUUUCUUCCCAUACUGAGAGAUAAUUAGGGAAACUAGAAAUCCCCGAGAUUGGGGAAUGGAAGAAUAUCACCUGCAAUUGUUGCUUUAUUGAUCCAUUCCAUUGAGGUCGGGAGCUAUACUAGACUUUGAUCUGCUGUUUGAUGUUCUUUGCCCGAGCUGCGGUUCCAAGACACCACCCAUGGAUUCGUUUUUGGACAAUACCACAUCGGGCUCAUGGGAGUUUGCAAUAACCCUGCUGUCGAAAGCAUUGUUGGAAUUAAGUUCGUUAUCACUUCCAACAUGAUGUUGCAGCGCAGGUUUUGGCUGGAAUUUGUUGGGAGGUAACGACGAGCAGCUGUGAGCUACGAUGUUGUUGGUUGACUUGUUUUUCACAGUAGCUUGUUCUGUCCACCAUUUAAGCAAUUUUUGGGCUAGGAAGCCAUUGACAGGUUUGUUGGAGGAGUCGGUGUAAUUUCCAGCAUCUCCUUCAGGGGCAGCUAUGGCACGAGCACUUCAAAUACGUUUGCCCGAUCAAACAUGGGGCCCCAUGUCUAAUUGACAACAUCUAUAUAAAUUGUAGCAGAGAAAAAGUCUUGCUCAUCGGGCAAGAUUAUAGCUCCAUCGGGCAACAGCAACAUACUUUCAUCAAGCAUUCGGGCAAACUGUAAAAACAAUUCUGCACCCACCAUCCAACCUCCACGGUUUAAUCGUAGCCUCCAAUGGUAGUCGUCGAAGUAGCCCGACCCUUGGUUGUAGGAGCUGGUGAGAGUUAGGGAGACAUGCAGAGUCUGUUGGUGGUGAACAGGGAAGACGUCACUUCCGUCGGGCAUGGUUAUGGUGGUCUCAUCGGGCACCACCAAUCGGGCAAGAUAACCCCCUGCUUUUUUGCAAUAGCCAUUGAGAAGCUGUCUGAUAGAUUUUUGCACAGGAAAGCCAUGAUUUGGCUUUUUAUAAAACCUCCAAUUCCAAGAUUCUGGGUGAGAUUUUGUGGAAAAUGUAGUUUUAUUGGAUGGUUUUGGGUUCGGGCUAAAUACACCCAUUGGAUAAGAGAAAAGUGGAAAGAAGGGUAAAAAUGGCUACUCACAAACUGCCCAACUCUUUGAUAUUUUCUGUAAAGUUCCCCAGCAAGCAAGAAAAAAAAAAAGGAAAAGAAAGCAAGAAAAAACAAAAGCAAGAAAGCAAAAUGUUUUUGUAAUUUUUGGAAUUUUUAAUUUUUAUAUCUUUUUCUUUGUAACAGCACAAGAAACACACAAAGAAAACAAAGCCUUUCAAAUACUAUAAUAUUAAUAUAUAUACACAUAAAACCCUUUUCGGGCAAAGUAUAUAAUAUAAUAUAAUAAUAUAAUAAUAUAAUAAUAUAAGACACAUAUAUAUAUAAGGCCCAUUCGGGCAACACUUUUAUUAUAUAAAAUAUAUAUAUCAAAAAACUAUAUAUAUAGCCCUUUUAGAGCAACAUUUUACAAAACAUAUUAUAAUACUAUAUAUAUAUAUAUAUAUAUAUAUAUAUAAUCUUCAUCCCCCUACUAUAACAUAUAUGUACAUACAGCCCUUGUCGGGCAAAACACUUUUAUCAUAUAAUAUAAUAAAUAUAGACACAUAGAUAUAAAAGUGUUUUGGGCAGCAGAAAGAUAGGUGAGAGAGAUAGGAAGGAAAAGAAAGGAAGAAAGAAAGAAAGAAAAAAAAAAUAAAAAAGAAAGAGAAGGAAAAGGAGGAGAAUGGUACUGGAGAAAAUGCACAAAAGAAUAACACAAAAGAAAGCCAUUCGGGCAAAUUGGAUGAAGCCCUUUGGCUGCUCAAUUGUUAUUCUUCUCUCAACACUCAAAUCUUUUUCUCUUUUUAAAAUUGAGUGUAGAGAGAUCAUACCCAUCAUUUAAAUUGGCCAUGCCAUAUAGCUUGGGAACCAUAGGAGGUGGCCAUUCAUGCUUGAUCCCAAGCUUUGUCCUCCUUGAGAUCUCGAUGCGGACAACAUGCUUGUGUUGGCGGGGAAGAGUGUAGGAGCUAUUUUCUUCUUCUUUGGGCUCCACAUGAGGUGUGGGCUCAUGCCCCCCGAGCGUUGGUGUUUGGCCUACAACGGCUUGGACUUCUACAACCAUAUCCAUUUUCAUGGAUUUUUCCUUGGGUGGGGCCAUUGUUUGGCCUUCAUCAACAUGUAUGAUCUGUUCUUCCUUGGUUGUAGUAGGGUGAGUGUGCUUUGUAGAGGGGAUUUGACACAUUUGAUCUAUCAACUUUCCCAAAGUUUCUCCAAAAGUUGUAUAGCUUUCCUCCACCUUUUUAAAACACUUAGUCACCUCUUCACCAUAUUCGAUGCUUGCCAUAUGGAGUUUGGACACCUUCUCUAAUUUGCCCACAUCCUCUUUGUAGAGCUUUUCAUCCGGAUGAUCAUGAGUUGGCAUCUCAUAUAUUGACUCUAUGUACUCAUUGGAAACAUUUUGAUACUCAAAGCCAUUUGUUGGCCUAUCAUAGUAUUCAUGAAUAUGAUUGCCUUCAAAAGAAUAAUAACCUUCAUCAUAGCCAUAAGUUGGCCAAUCCGUAAGUUUAUUAUUUAUUUGAUGGCCAUUAGUUGGCCGACAAACAUGUUUCAUGGGACUUGAGUACUCUUCAACCAUGUACCCAUAAGUUGGCAACUCAUAGGUUGGCUCUAUGUGAUAGCCAUAGCUUGGGCGCUUUUCCACACCGUCAUCUUCCGAAAAAGCAGAAAAAUCAUGAACAUAAGGAUUGUUCAUGAUCUAUCUUCAUAUAAGGAUCCCACCGGGCGUGCCAAAAUAUGUUCGCUCCCUAAAUCCGCCAUGGCGCCUUGCGGGCAAGCCGGGGAUUUACUUCACAUACGAGAUUGGUGGGUGUGGGCGUGCCACUAUUAGAUGCCGCUAGUAGACAGGAUUUGAAUGAUUGAGGUUGCGCCUUUUGACUUCAAAUCAAGAGAUUGUGCCAUUUGAGUGGGAGUUGCUCAAAUUAAGGUUCUUUGUUUGCCUUAAAAAUAAGGACUUUACUUAUAUGAAGAGAUAGAACAAUAUGUAAAUGACAAGGUUGCUUGGAAAUAUAAAUGACAAGGGAAAGUGGCUAAUAUUGCAGAUUGCUUGUAAUUUAUAUGACUGGAAAUGAGUACAUAAAAACUACAAAUGAGAUCGAUACUACAAGUGAGUAGCAGAGCUAAUAAACUUAAGAUAAAAGAAGGCUUUUGGCAAAUCUGGUUUGAGCAGAGUUUUGGCUUUUGUUUGUUUGUUUAAGUGUCCAUAAUCCUUGUGCAGCUGCUCCUUUUUAUAGAGGUAUGGAGGAAACCCUCCUGCUGAGGUUUUGUAUCUGCCCGAAAGAAGCUUGGGCAGCUUGUAUUCCAUUGCUUUAGACAGCUUGCAUGCUUUUCACUUGCCAACUUGCAUGGAGAAAUAAUAUUAAAAGGGGAACUUGCAUUUCCACCACAAGCUUUCAUCACAUGUUUUCCCACUUGUAAUAAACUAAUCAAUUAAAAAAAGUAAGUUGGAAAAUUGGCUUCUUUCAUCACACAUUCUUGCCCGAAAGUAUGCAUGGUGUCCUUCCAUCCACUUGCAUGAAAAAGCAUGCACUUGUCUUGAUUAAACAAUUCCCUUGGCAAACCUCCACCACCCAAACAAAUAGGAGAAAUAAUAUUAUAGUGCCAAACCCUCCACUUGCAACUAAAUAUCUUUCCAAGUUAGUCUUCUUGC
rnacentral:lncRNA from 1 species